UUAUGAUGAGGGUCGCACAUAUAUGUGGCUAUGGUCACAAUACGAAAGAAGAAAACGAGUGAGAAAAGGAAGAAAUAUAUGGAGCGAUUGGUGAUGAAUAGUGUGAUAGUAGAAGGUGGUCUUAAUAGGCAGAUUGUUGUAGUCCCUUGCGGCUGAGUAUGUUAAAAGGGCUAGAACAAAAGCCUUAUUCUGAUUUUCUUUAGUGUAGCAACAAUAACCAAAAAGCUGGUCCCCCUUAGGGUGUUGUUGAGGUGCCUUGUGCAUGGUUGAACUAUCCGGUAAGAAUCUUAUCCAUGAGUUAUCUAGGUGAGCAACAACAGCACCUUGCAUCCUUGGUGAAUGCAUUGUUACCUUUUUGUCGAGUGGUAUAAAUAGAUCAUUUAUUUCAAAACACAGUAUAGAUAUAGAUACUCAUAUAUAUGCACGUACACUCACCACUACAAAUAUAUACAUGCAAUUCUAUCCUAUAACCACAUCCGAAAAAUUAAGCUGGUAGAUCUUGAGAUUGACGAAAUCACCACAUGUACCUCUCUGUCGAUGGGCACACCACCUACCCUGAAAAGAACAACGUCAGUUAAUCCGAAAAUAAAUCUAGAAAAAUACGAACAUCCGUGCCAAACGAAGAACUCAAAUCCAGGUGGGCAGGUUCCACCGCAAGAAACUCUACAAGCUGAAUAGAAUUACACUCGGUUCGUUUUUAAGUAGAUUGCCCAAGUGGCCAUAACUAUUUGAGCUCUGAGGUCUUGGAAAGUAAUAAAGGUAGUAGUGAUAGGGUGAUAGCAGCUUAAGUGGUUGGAAUUUUGGAUGGGCCCAUCCCCGUUCAUUUCUCAAAGCACACGACACGGCACGAGAUCCCAGUCCACGAAAUAUCGCCGAGAAAUUUCCAAAUCAGCCGCCGCCGAUCCCGACCAUGUCCUCCGGCGACCUCGACGGCGCCGCCCUCAUCCUCUCCCUCCCCGAGGACGUACUCGCCCUGAUCUCCGCGCGCCUUUGCACCCGCGACCUCCUCGCGCUCUCCGCCGCCUCCCGCCGCCUCCGCCACGCGCUCUACGGCGGCGGCGCCGACAAGGCCUGGCUCGCGCAGUGCCGCCGCCUCCUCCCCUCGCCGCCCCACCUCCUCGCCUGGCGCGCCGCCGUCGGCGGAUCCUCCCUCGCCGUCUGCCGCUUCCUCCACUCCGCCGCGCCGCUGCUCGGCGCCCUCUGGGCCCACCAGAACCCCGAGCUCGGCAACCUCGUCGCCGCCGUCCCGGGCUUCCUCUCCGUCGUUGCCGCCCGCGCCAUCCCGCAGGAGCUCUCCCCGCGCCUCCGAUGGGCACCCGUCUUCGAGCUCCUCGCCGACGCCCACGGACGCCCCGCCAUCCUAUUCCUCCACGGCCACCAACCCGCCGACCUCUUCCCGGCCCGCCUCUCCUCCCUCCAGCCCCACGCCAACGUCCUCUUCCUCGAGGCCCAAACCGACCAGGACCCCAUCGCUGCCUCCUCCUCGCACCAGUUCCCCCGCCUCGCCUUCGGCGACCGCCGCCGCCUGCUCGACUCCCUCGUCGACGCCUGCCGCGUCACGCUCCCGCCCGACCUCGUCGCGGCCCCGCUCUUCGCGCGCUCCGAGGAGGACCUCCCGGUGCUCGCGGCGCGACGGGAGGCGAUGCUGCGGCUGCACAGGGAGGCUGGCGGGGGCAUGGUGCGCACGCCGGAGGUCCAGGGGCUCCUACUAGAAGCCAAGAAGAAGGCAGCGCCGUCGUCACCGAGCGACGGUGGGGAGAGGAUUCGCCUGCGGAGGAGCCUCUCCGCUGUAGCAGUGGCCGUCAGGAACGGCCUGCGCCAGAUGGUGACACGAUCAGUGUCAGCGAAUUCCAGGACUCAGUACAUCGACACCAAACAUCUGCUGUUGGCUGACUUCCUGCACACCGGUGAGAGUGUCGGCCUGAGCAUCCGCGGCGCGAGAAUGCGGCUGUCCACUUACCGUGCAUGGCCGAGCAUGCAUGACAACCGCUUUGCGCUCUACAAGCUCACGGUGCAACCGCCCGUGCCAGGAAGGGAGU
rnacentral:lncRNA from 1 species